GAGAGUAUAGCUCAGUGGUAGAGCGCAUGCUUAGCAUGCAUGAGGUCCUGGGUUCAAUCCCCAGUAUCCCUU
rnacentral:tRNA from 1 species